rnacentral:lncRNA from 1 species
AACUCUUCUUAAAAUCAGAUUACAUGCCCCAUAAACCUUUUAAUAGGCGUGUAAGACUUUGGGUUGGAUUGGGUAUUGACUAGGUCAAUUGUUUGAAUCCAAUUCAAACAUUUAAACCAAUCCCAAUCUUAAGAGAUGAAGGGAGGAUGUGGGCUCCUCUUUGGCGUGGUUCUUUUUGCACACAAAAAUAUUUUUUAACAUGAAGAAGUGUGGCACUAUUUUAUUAUGGCAUGG